rnacentral:rRNA from 1 species
UACGGGGGGGGUAAGCGUUGUUCGGGAUUACUGGGCGUAAAGGGCUCGUAGGCGGCCAACUAAGUCGGACGUGAAAUCCCUCAGCUUAACUGGGGAACUGCGUCCGAUACUGGAUGGCUUGGAUUUGGGAGAGGGAUGCGGAAUUCCAGGUGUAGCGGUGAAAUGCGUAGAUAUCUGGAGGAACACCGGUGGCGAAGGCGGCAUCCUGGACCAACACUGACGCUGAGGAGCGAAAGCCAGGGGAGCAAACGGG